rnacentral:ncRNA from 1 species
UUGAAUUUGCCGCCGGGUAAACGUCUUUCAUUCAUUCCGUUAGGCCAUUGAAGGAAUGAGUGUCAGGCGUUUUAUUUU